GGUCUUGAAGUCUCGUAGAGGGGGGUAGAAAUUCCAAGGUGUAGCGGUGAAAAUGCGUAGGAGAAUCUGGGAGGAAUACCGGUGGCGGAAGGCGGGCCCCCUGGACGAAGACUGACGCUCAGGUGCGAAAGCGUGGGGAGCAAAACAGGAUUAGAUACCCUGGUAGUCCACGCCGUAAACGAUGUCGACUUGGAGGUUGUGCCCUUGAGGCGUGGCUUCCGGAGCUAACGCGUUAAGUCGACCGCCUGGGGAGUACGGCCGCAAGGUUAAAACUCAAAUGAAUUGACGGGGGCCCGCACAAGCGGUGGAGCAUGUGGUUUAAUUCGAUGCAACGCGAAGAACCUUACCUUGUCUUGACAUCCACAGAACUUUCCAGAGAUGGAUUGGUGCCUUCGGGAACUGUGAGACAGGUGCUGCAUGGCUGUCGUCAGCUCGUGUUGUGAAAUGUUGGGUUAAGUCCCGCAACGAGCGCAACCCUUAUCCUUUGUUGCCAGCGGUCCGGCCGGGAACUCAAAGGAGACUGCCAGUGAUAAACUGGAGGAAGGUGGGGAUGACGUCAAGUCAUCAUGGCCCUUACGACCAGGGCUACACACGUGCUACAAUGGCGCAUACAAAGAGAAGCAAUCUCGCGAGAGCUAGCGGACCUCAUAAAGUGCGUCGUAGUCCGGAUUGGAGUCUGCAACUCGACUCCAUGAAGUCGGAAUCGCUAGUAAUCGUGAAUCAGAAUGUCACGGUGAAUACGUUCCCGGGCCUUGUACACACCGCCCGGCACACCAUGGGAGUGGGUUGCAAAAGAAGUAGGUAGCUUAACCUUCGGGAGGGCGCUAC
rnacentral:rRNA from 1 species